rnacentral:lncRNA from 1 species
AGUCCUGCCUUCGACCUUCAACGUGGCUGGUCUCCUCUCAGGUUCCUGGAAGGAGAUGGAGGGAGGUGAAACCUGAGAAAGGAAUACAGGGAGAGAGGUCGGCUCAACCCCGGGGGCUCUUUCUUCCGGCCUUCUUCUGAGGCUUCUCAUCUUCCUCACAUUGGUACAAGAAAUCUUCAAGAAUGAAUUCUACCCUGUGUAAGUCAGUGACCCUGGCUGAGCUUUGUGGACGGAGCACCGUGACACCGGGGCAGAUCCUAGAGACACCUACAGGACCACCACUGUCCUCAAGAGCCCCAAAGGCCAGAUGCUAUCUGAAAUAAAACUGCCUGGCAAUGGCAUUGUGAACUUCCAGCACCUUCCUCACAGCACCGGAGUUUGACAGCAGCUGGCCCCCGAUCCUCAGCCCUUAGCUGCUAUGCUUUGCUGGCGUGUUGGGGUAGACAGUAUGUGGCGACAGAAACUGCAAGCACCCUGGGGCACACAGAAGCCAUCCUAGGUGGGACCUGCCUAUUUUUAAUUGAGCCGUUUACUCUUUUGUUAAUGAGUUGCCUGGAUUGUAUAUGUACUCUAGCCAUGAAUCCUGUAUUCCAUAAUUAUUCAGUGUGUGUAUAUGUGUAGUGUUUGCAUAAGCAUAAGCACACAUGUAUGUGCAGGUGUGGGUACAUACGAAGGCUAGAGAUUGAUAACAGGAUGUUUUCCAUUGACCUUCACCUCUCUUUCUGUCUCUCUUUCUGACUGUCUCUCUCUUUCUUUUCCUUUCUUCCUUCUUUCUCUCUCUCUCUUUUUCUUUUCUUUUUGAAACAGGGUUUCUCCAAGUAGCCCUGGCUGUCCUCCUGAAGUUCAUUGUGUAGAUCAGGCUGGCCUCAGACUCACAGAGAUCUGCCUGCCUCUGCCUCUUGAGUACUGGGAUUAAAGGUGUGUGAUACCA